UUUGUGACGGCAUUUAGUUUCCUAUAAUCGACACACAUCCGCCAACCCGUGGUAGGACGAGUCGGUACCAACUCCAAUUUAUCAUUGCGCACAACCGUAAUCCCUCUUUUCUUGGGCACGACAUGCACUGGGCUCACCCACUCACUGUCGGCGACAGAGUAGAUAAUCCCUUCGGCCAGCAGCUUAAGGAUCUCCUUGCGCACGACCUCCAUCAGAAUAGGGUUCAGUCGUCUCUGGCCGUCUCGCUUGGGUGCAGCUCCCUCCUCGAGGUUGAUUCUGUGCAUGCAUGUGGCUGGACUAAUGCCACGUAUAUCCGCCAGACUCCAUCCCAGCGCUGCCUUAUUU
rnacentral:lncRNA from 1 species